AUUGCAUCUCAGACUUUUGGAUAAGACCAAGUGUAGUAUCUGUUCUUUUCAGUUUAAUAUCUGAUAUGUCCUCUAUCCAAGGACAUUACAUAAAGUGGAUUUUUGGAGCUUGGAGAUGGAAUAGGAGUUUGCUCUAUCCACUGCACACAUCGACCUGGUAUUGCAAUAUCCCCCAAAAUGGUGCACCAGAA